rnacentral:rRNA from 1 species
ACUCCUACGGGAGGCAGCAGUAGGGAAUCUUCCACAAUGGGCGCAAGCCUGAUGGAGCAACACCGCGUGAGUGAAGAAGGGUUUCGGCUCGUAAAGCUCUGUUGUUGGAGAAGAACGUGCGUGAGAGUAACUGUUCACGCAGUGACGGUAUCCAACCAGAAAGUCACGGCUAACUACGUGCCAGCAGCCGCGGUAAUAC